UACGUAGGGGGCAAGCGUUGUCCGGAAUUAUUGGGCGUAAAGAGCGUGUAGGCGGCCAGAUAAGUCCGCUGUGAAAUCUCGAGGCUCAACUUCGAGCUGUCGGUGGAAACUAUCUGGCUAGAGUCCGGAAGAGGAGAAUGGAAUUCCUGGUGUAGCGGUGAAAUGCGCAGAUAUCAGGAAGAACACCCGUGGCGAAGGCGGUUCUCUGGGCCGAUACUGACGCUGAGGAGCGAAAGCGUGGGGAGCGAACAGG
rnacentral:rRNA from 1 species